GUCUCAGGCCGUAUCAGCCUGAAGGCGCCCGAUCUCGUCUGAUCUCGGAAGCAAGCAGGGUCGGGCCUGGUUAGGAUCUUGGAUGGGAGACCACCUGGGAAUCCCGGGUGCUCGAGGCU
rnacentral:rRNA from 1 species